GAAUGGCUCAUUAAAUCAGUUAUCGUUUAUUUGAUUGUACUUUACUACAUGGAUACCUGUGGUAAUUCUAGAGCUAAUACAUGCGAAAAAUCCCGACUUCUGGAAGGGAUGUAUUUAUUAGAUUAAAAACCAAUGCGAGUCUUCGGGCUCGUUUUCUUGGUGAUUCAUGAUAACUUUUCGAAUCGCAUGGCCCAGCGCCGGCGAUAUUUCAUUCAAAUUUCUGCCCUAUCAACUGUCGAUGGUAAGGUAGUGGCUUACCAUGGUUAUAACGGGUGACGGAGAAUUAGGGUUCGAUUCCGGAGAGGGAGCCUGAGAAACGGCUACCACAUCUAAGGAAGGCAGCAGGCUCGAAAAUUACCCAAUCCCAAUUCGGGGAGGUAGUGACAAGAAAUAACGAUACGGGGUCUUAAUAGGUCUCGCAAUUGGAAUGAGUACAAUUUAAAUCCUUUAACGAGGAUCAAUUGGAGGGCAAGUCUGGUGCCAGCAGCCGCGGUAAUUCCAGCUCCAAUAGCGUAUAUUAAAGUUGUUGCAGUUAAAAAGCUCGUAGUUGGAUUUCGGAGUGGGCCAGUUGGUCCGCCGCAAGGUGUGUUACUGACUGGUCUGCUCUUCUUCGCAAAGACUGCGUGUGCUCUUUGUUGAGUGUGCGUAGGAUUUACGACGUUUACUUUGAAAAAAUUAGAGUGUUCAAAGCAGGCUAUUGCUUGAAUACAUGAGCAUGGAAUAAUGGAAUAGGACUUUGGUCCCAUUUUGUUGGUUUCUAGGACCGAAGUAAUGAUUAAGAGGGACAAUUGGGGGCAUCCGUAUUUCGUUGUCAGAGGUGAAAUUCUUGGAUUUACGAAAGACGAACAACUGCGAAAGCACUUGCCAAGAGUGUUUUCAUUAAUCAAGAACGAAAGUUAGAGGAUCGAAGACGAUCAGAUACCGUCCUAGUUCUAACCAUAAACGAUGUCGACUAGGGAUCAGCGGGCGUUAUCGUACGACCCCGUUGGCACCUUACGGGAAACCAAAGUUUCUGGAUUCCGGGGGAAGUAUAGUCGCAAGGCCGAAACUUAAAGGAAUUGACGGAAGGGCACCACCAGG
rnacentral:rRNA from 1 species